rnacentral:rRNA from 1 species
CAGUAGCCGCGGUAAUACGAAGGGGGCUAGCGUUGCUCGGAAUGACUGGGCGUAAAGGGCGCGUAGGCGGUUUUGACAGUCAGAUGUGAAAUUCCUGGGCUUAACCUGGGGGCUGCAUUUGAGACGUCAAGACUAGAGUGUGAGAGAGGGUUGUGGAAUUCCCAGUGUAGAGGUGAAAUUCGUAGAUAUUGGGAAGAACACCGGUGGCGAAGGCGGCAACCUGGCUCAUUACUGACGCUGAGGCGCGAAAGCGUGGGGAGCAAACAGGAUUAGAUACCCCCGUAGUCCCUGUCUCUUAUAA